UCGGUUAUGUGCGGUAGACGACAGACGAGUAAAUCCGGGUAAAAUUUGUUUUUCCCAACAUUCGUUAGAAGUUCCAAGAUAAGGAUGGGGGUACCAGGCGGAUUGGAAUCUUUGCAAAUUUAUUGGAUGAGAAAGAAUUCAUGGAAGCAGAAGGUAAAUGCUCACGUCUAUUGGUUAUCUCAAGAUAGCAAUUGACCAAUUCAAUUAGCCUUCAAAACAUCUAAAGUCCGGAAAAAUUGCAGCAUUGUUUUCUAGAAGAUAAACGCUACCCCACCAUCGUCUACCAUACCCAUGAUUCGUUAGAAGUUCCGAGAUAAGGAUAGGGGUACCACGCGGAUUGGAAUGGUU